UACGUAGGGGGCAAGCGGUUGUCCGGAUUUAUUGGGCGUAAAGAGCGUGUAGGCGGCCAUGUAGGUCCGUUGUGAAAACUCGAGGCUCAACCUCGAGACGCCGAUGGAAACCAUGUGGCUAGAGUCCGGAAGAGGAGAGUGGAAUUCCGUGGUGUAGCGGUGAAAUGCGCAGAUAUCAAGGAAGAACACCCGUGGCUAAGGCGGCUCUCUAGUACGGUACUGACGCUGAGACGCGAAAGCGUGGGGAGCAAACAGGG
rnacentral:rRNA from 1 species